CACGUAGGGUGCGAGCGUUAAUCGGAAUUACUGGGCGUAAAGGGUGCGCAGGCGGUUUCGCAAGUCAGGUGUGAAAUCCCCGGGCUUAACCUGGGAAUGGCAUUUGAAACUACGAGACUUGAGUGCGGCAGAGGGAGGUGGAAUUCCACGUGUAGCGGUGAAAUGCGUAGAUAUGUGGAGGAACACCGAUGGCGAAGGCA
rnacentral:rRNA from 2 species